AUUGAACGCUGGCGGCAGGCCUAACACAUGCAAGUCGAACGAGUGGCGGACGGGUGAGUAAUGUCUGGGAAACUGCCUGAUGGAGGGGGAUAAAUACUGGAAAAGGUAGCUAAUACCGCAUACCAUCGGAGGUGCCCAGAUGGGAUUAGCUAGUAGGUGGGGUAAAGGCUCACCAAGGCGACGAUCCCUAGCUGGUCUGAGAGGAUGACCAGCCACACUGGAACUGAGAAACGGUCCAGACCCCUACGGGAGGCAGAAGUGGGGAAUAUUGGACAAGGGGGGCAAGCCUGAUGAAGCCAUGCCGCGUGUAUGAAGAAGGCCUUCGGGUUGUAAAGUACUUUCAGCGGGGAGGCGUUACCCGCAGAAGAAGCACCGGCUAACUCCGUGCCAGCAGCCGCGGUAAUAC
rnacentral:rRNA from 1 species